rnacentral:rRNA from 1 species
GAUGAACGCUGGCGGCGUGCCUAAUACAUGCAAGUCGAGCGAACGGGCGAGAAGCUUCCUUCUCUGAUGUUAGCGGCACGCGUGUGUAUAACGCGUGGAUCACCUCCCUAUAAGACGGGGAAAACUUCGGGAAACCAGAGAUAAUCCCGGAUAAUAUUUUGAACCGCAUGGUUCACAAGUGAAAGACGGUCUUGCUGUCACUUAUAGAUCGAUCCGCGCUGCAUUAGCUAGUUGGUAAGGUAACGGCUUACCAAGGCAACGAUGCAUCCCCGACCUGAGAGGGUGAUCGCCCACACUGGAACGGGAACACGGUCCAGACUCCUACGGGAGGCAGCAGUAGGGAAUCUUCCGCAAUGGGCGAAAGCCUGACGGAGCAACGCCGCGUGAGUGAUGAAGGUCUUCGGAUCGUAAACCUCUGUUAUUAGGGAAGAACAUAUGUGUAAGUAACUGUGCACAUCUUGACGGUACCUAAUCAGAAAGCCACGGCUAACUACGUG